GCUAGUAAUGGCAGGUCAGAAUACUGCCGUGAAUACGUUCCCGGGCCUUGUACACACCGCCCGUCACACCAUGAGAGUUGGGAAUACCCGAAGCCCGUGAGCUAACCGAAAGGGGAGCAGCGGUCGAAGGUAGAAUCAAUGAUUGGGGUGAAGUCGUAACAAGGUACC
rnacentral:rRNA from 1 species